CAGUCGCCGCGGGAAUACGGAGGGAGCUAGCGUUGUUCGGAAUUACUGGGCGUAAAGCGCACGUAGGCGGAUAUUUAAGUCAGGGGUGAAAUCCCGCAGCUCAACUGCGGAACUGCCUUUGAUACUGGGUAUCUUGAGUAUGGAAGAGGUUAGUGGAAUUGCGAGUGUAGAGGUGAAAUUCGUAGAUAUUCGCAGGAACACCAGUGGCGAAGGCGGCUAACUGGUCCAUAACUGACGCUGAGGUGCGAAAGCGUGGGGAGCAGACGGGAUUAGAUACCCGAGUAGUCCCUGUCUCUUAUAC
rnacentral:rRNA from 1 species